rnacentral:rRNA from 1 species
AUUGAACGCUGGCGGCAGGCCUAACACAUGCAAGUCGAGCGGAUGAAGGGAGCUUGCUCCUGGAUUCAGCGGCGGACGGGUGAGUAAUGCCUAGGAAUCUGCCUGGUCGUGGGGGAUAACGUCCGGAAACGGGAGCUAAUACCGCAUCCGUCCUGAGGGAGAAAGUGGGGGAUCUUCGGACCUCACGCUAUCAGAUGAGCCUAGGUCGGAUUAGCUAGUUGGUGGGGUAAAGGCCUACCAAGGCGACGAUCCGUAACUGGUCUGAGAGGAUGAUCAGUCACACUGGAACUGAGACACGGUCCAGACUCCUACGGGAGGCAGCAGUGGGGAAUAUUGGACAAUGGGCGAAAGCCUGAUCCAGCCAUGCCGCGUGUGUGAAGAAGGUCUUCGGAUUGUAAAGCACUUUAAGUUGGGAGGAAGGGCAGUAAGUUAAUACCUUGCUGUUUUGACGUUACCAACAGAAUAAGCACCGGCUAACUUCGUG